rnacentral:misc_RNA from 1 species
GAAAUGCGAUAAGUAAUGUGAAUUGCAGAAUUCCGUGAAUCAUCGAAUCUUUGAACGCACAUUGCGCCCGCCAGAUUCUCCCUGGCGGGCAUGCCUGUUCGAGCGUCAUUUCGCCCAUCAAGCCCACGGCUUGUGUUGGGGACCUGCGGCCGCCCGCAGGCCCCGAAAACCAGUGGCGGGCUCGCUAGUCACACCGAGCGUAGUAGCAACGCGAAACCUCGCUCAGGGCGUGCUGCGGGUUCCGGCCGUAAAACGCCAACACACCCCAAGGUUGACCUCGGAUCAGGUAGGAGGACCCGCUGAACUUAA